rnacentral:rRNA from 1 species
CAGCCGCCGCGGUAAUACGUAGGUGGCAAGCUUUGUCCGGAUUUAUUGGGCGUAAAGCGAGCGCAGGCGGUUCUUUAAGUCUGAUGUGAAAGCCCCCGGCUCAACCGGGGAGGGUCAUUGGAAACUGGAGAACUUGAGUGCAGAAGAGGAGAGUGGAAUUCCACGUGUAGCGGUGAAAUGCGUAGAUAUGUGGAGGAACACCAGUGGCGAAGGCGACUCUCUGGUCUGUAACUGACGCUGAGGCUCGAAAGCGUGGGGAGCAAACAGGAUUAGAUACCCUGGUAGUCCACGCCGUAAACGAUGAGUGCUAAGUGUUGGAGGGUUUACGCCCUUCAGUGCUGCAGCUAACGCAUUAAGCACUCCGCCUGGGGAGUACGACCGCAAGGUUGAAACUUAAAGGAAUUGGCGGG